GACGAACGCUGGCGGCGUGCUUAACACAUGCAAGUCGAACGGAAAGGCCCUGCUUUUGUGGGGUGCUCGAGUGGCGAACGGGUGAGUAACACGUGAGUAACCUGCCCUUGACUUUGGGAUAACUUAAGGUAACUGGGGCUAAUCCCGGAUAGGAGCCCCUGCUGCAUUGUGGGGGUAGGAAAGUUUCGGCGGUAGGGGAUGGACCCGCGGCUUAUCUGCUUGUUGGUGGGGUAGUGGCUUACCACGGCCUUGACGGGUAGCCGGCCUGAGAGGGUGACCGGCCACAUUGGGACUGAGAGACGGCCCAGACUCCUACGGGAGGCAGCAGUCGGGAAUAUUGCACAAUGGGCGGAAGCCUGAUGCAGCAACGCCGCGUGCGGGAUGACGGCCUUCGGGUUGGAAACCGCUUUCGCCUGGGACGAAGCGUGAGUGACGGUAAUGGGUAAAGAAGCACCGGCUAACUACGUG
rnacentral:rRNA from 1 species